UCUCUGGUGACCUCGUAGAUUGUCCAUCUUUGUGAAGGUGGCAGCACCUGUCGGACCAUGUGUUAUGGGAAUUGUUUAUUCAAUGACAAAGUGAACUUAUUUUUGUAUUAUAUUUUAUUUUGCAGAAACAAAGUUUUGGAACUAACAUCCAGUCGUUCUCGUUAGUAAUUCCUUCGAUUCGUCACAAUGAGGGCACUGCACACAGCACAGCCAAAGAAAAGAAGCAGAUACGGUCAAGAAAAAGUUUCUCAGCUUGAGAACUGGAAUGCUAUUCAUGAUGGAAUGUUCACUAGUUUCCAAGAGUCGCUUGUUCCUGGUAUGAACUGUGGAGCGUGCAGUGUUCGAUUGUUAUCCGUGUAUCGAUAAGAUGACUGUUAUGUUGGCUUCUUUCUUUGCGCAGCUGUGUUGAAGAAGUGCAUAAACACACAUUGUUUCACCAACCAUACAAAUGGCAGGACGAUAUCAUCGAUUGAAUUUCCAGUUUUGCCUCUGUGAACCAGAGUCUGUUACCCUGAUACUUCAUCACCUGUGGCCUUCGUCUCCAAAGAAACCACGCAUGUGUUUUCAUUUCCACUUCAUGGAUUUGCUGCGGGUAAUAUCUUAUAGUAUCUUCAAGGAACAAUUCUUAUCAUGGACUUCUGUGAAGCGUUCGAGCACUUAUACAGUCCUUAUGUUCAUUUUGAAGACCCGGCAACCAGAAUAUCUACAGAGUCCUGAUAAAUGAAAGCUUCGAGGAAUACAGGGCUUUCAUACCAGUAUGAAUAUCUCCGUAAUGUCUGCCCUGAUUUUGGUGAUGGAACAAUGUGUCCUGUUUGUC